rnacentral:rRNA from 1 species
UACGUAGGGUGCGAGCGUUGUCCGGAAUUACUGGGCGUAAAGAGCUCGUAGGUGGUUUGUCGCGUUGUUCGUGAAAACUCACAGCUCAACUGUGGGCGUGCGGGCGAUACGGGCAGACUGGAGUACUGCAGGGGAGACUGGAAUUCCUGGUGUAGCGGUGGAAUGCGCAGAUAUCAGGAGGAACACCGGUGGCGAAGGCGGGGUCUCUGGGCAGUAACUGACGCUGGAGGAGCGAAAAGCGUGGGGAGCGAACAGG